rnacentral:rRNA from 1 species
CAUGCAAGUCGAACGCGAAAGCUCCCUUCGGGGAGCAAGUAGAGUGGCGCACGGGUGAGUAACACGUAGGUAAUCUACCUUUGGAUGGGGAAUAACAACCGGAAACGGUUGCUAAUACCGCAUAAUGCAGCGGCACCUAAUGGUGACAGUUGUUAAAGCGGGGGAUCGAAAGACCUCGCGUCUGAAGAGGAGCCUGCGGCAGAUUAGCUAGUUGGUAAGGUAACGGCUUACCAAGGCGAUGAUCUGUAGCCGGCCUGAGAGGGCGGUCGGCCACACUGACACUGACAUACGGGUCAGACUCCUACGGGAGGCAGCAGUCGGGAAUUUUGGGCAAUGGGCGAAAGCCUGACCCAGCAACGCCGCGUGAAGGAUGAAAUCCUUCGGGAUGUAAACUUCGCAAGAACGGGAAGAAUAAGUAAGGGUUAAUAUCCCUUACGAUGACGGUACCGUUCGUAAGCUCCGGCUAACUCCGUGCCAGCAGCCGCGGUAAUACGGGGGGAGCAAGCGUUGUUCGGAUUUACUGGGCGUAAAGGGCGCGUAGGCGGCCACUGCAAGUCGACUGUGAAAUCUCCGGGCUUAACCCGGAAAGGUCAGCCGAUACUGCAGGGCUAGAGUGCAGAAAGGGGCAACUGGAAUUCUCGGUGUAGCGGUGAAAUGCGUAGAUAUCGAGAGGAACACCUGCGGCGAAGGCGGGUUGCUGGGCUGACACUGACGCUGA